GUCAGCAUAGUGUAGUGGUUUGAGUGCUGGACUAUAACUCUGGAGGCUAGGCUUCAAAUCCCUGCUCAGCCA